CCCACAGCGCCCCCUGGUGACACCUCCGCGACACCGCCCUGCCCUGUAUGAGGUGACCGGGCUCCCCUCCUCCCGCCGUCCUCACAGGCCCCGUCCUGCUGCCAGGGGCGAGCCCGGCCCGAGGCGUGCGGGAAGGGUGCUUAUCUCACCCGCUCCGUGCUGGAGCGGCCUGUACGGCGGGGGGAACCGCGGCCCGCUUCAUCUGCCGGUGAUGGGGGCCGCAUCUCCUAUUUGUGUGCUCUGCGCAUGGGGAAGAAGCCUCGAGAAUGUGAAAGGCAACUCAAGACUCUUCAUGUAGCUAAAAAGUGUGCCUCUGCUUGUGUGACCUCUGCAUCUAACUGGAGGAUAAAUUCCUACCUCUGCUGGCUUCUUUCCAGUAGUUGCCUUGUAAUUCAACUUCAGUCUUCCUAGCAAG
rnacentral:lncRNA from 14 species